rnacentral:rRNA from 3 species
UUGACCUCGGAUCAGGUAGGAAGACCCGCUGAACU